rnacentral:miRNA from 1 species
CUUCCAGUAGCAUCCUAGAGACCAACUAAGGUAGUUAUUGGUAUGAGCUUUCGUGUGCAUGCACACUUCUUGCACACGAAAGGUCAUACCAAUAACUAACUUAGUUGGUCUCUAAGGUGCUACUGGAAG